rnacentral:tRNA from 1 species
UUUAUUAAGGUGUCCUUGCACAUGAAGAUUUGAUUUUCAGGGAGAUGUUAACAUCUAAUAUAA